rnacentral:rRNA from 1 species
AUCUAGAACUCAGGAUCACUCGUGUUACACUGCAAUCGCGUGUCGCCCUUAGAGUUUGAUCCUGGCUCAGAGUGAACGCUGGCGGCAGGCCUAACACAUGCAAGUCGAACGGCAGCACAGAGGAGCUUGCUCCUUGGGUGGCGAGUGGCGGACGGGUGAGGAAAACGUCGGAAUCUGCCUAUUUGUGGGGGAUAACGUAGGGAAACUUACGCUAAUACCGCAUACGACCUACGGGUGAAAGCGGAGGACCUUCGGGCUUCGCGCAGAUAGAUGAGCCGACGUCGGAUUAGCUAGUUGGCGGGGUAAAGGCCCACCAAGGCGACGAUCCGUAGCUGGUCUGAGAGGAUGAUCAGCCACACUGGAACUGAGACACGGUCCAGACUCCUACGGGAGGCAGCAGUGGGGAAUAUUGGACAAUGGGCGCAAGCCUGAUCCAGCCAUGCCGCGUGUGUGGAGAAGGCCUUCGGGUUGUAAAGCACUUUUGUCCGGAAAGAAAAGCACUGGGUUAAUACCCUGGUGUCAUGACGGUACCGGAAGAAUAAGCACCGGCUAACUUCGUGCCAGCAGCCGCGGUAAUACGAAGGGUGCAAGCGUUACUCGGAAUUACUGGGCGUAAAGCGUGCGUAGGCGGUUUGUUAAGUCUGAUGUGAAAGCCCUGGGCUCAACCUGGGAAUGGCAUUGGAUACUGGCAAUCUAGAAUGUGGUAGAGGGUGGCGGAACUCCCGGUGUAGCAGUGAAAUGCGUAGAUAUCGGGAGGAACAUCCGUGGCGAAGGCGGCCACCUGGACCAACAUUGACGCUGAGGCACGAAAGCGUGGGGAGCAAACAGGAUUAGAUACCCUGGUAGUCCACGCCCUAAACGAUGCGAACUGGAUGUUGGGCUCAAUUGAGAGCUCAGUAUCGAAGCUAACGCGUUAAGUUCGCCGCCUGGGAAGUACGGUCGCAAGACUGAAACUCAAAGGAAUUGACGGGGGCCCGCACAAGCGGUGGAGUAUGUGGUUUAAUUCGAUGCAACGCGAAGAACCUUACCUGGCCUUGACAUGUCGCGAACUUUCCAGAGAUGGAUUGGUGCCUUCGGGAACGCGAACACAGGUGCUGCAUGGCUGUCGUCAGCUCGUGUCGUGAGAUGUUGGGUUAAGUCCCGCAACGAGCGCAACCCUUGUCCUUAGUUGCCAGCACGUAAUGGUGGGAACUCUAAGGAGACUGCCGGUGACAAACCGGAGGAAGGUGGGGAUGACGUCAAGUCAUCAUGGCCCUUACGGCCAGGGCUACACACGUACUACAAUGGUAGGGACAGAGGGCUGCAAACCCGCGAGGGCAAGCCAAUCCCAGAAACCCUAUCUCAGUCCGGAUCGGAGUCUGCAACUCGACUCCGUGAAGUCGGAAUCGCUAGUAAUCGCAGAUCAGCAUUGCUGCGGUGAAUACGUUCCCGGGCCUUGUACACACCGCCCGUCACACCAUGGGAGUUUGUUGCACCAGAAGCAGGUAGCUUAACCUUCGGGAGGGCGCUUGCCACGGUGUGGCAGAUGACUGGGGUGAAGUCGUAACAAGGUAACCAAGGGCGACACGCGAUUGCAGUCUUGAGUCCAC